rnacentral:tRNA from 1 species
GGGCUGUUAGCUCAGCUGGCUAGAGUGCUACGUUGACAUCGUAGAGGUCACUGGUUCGAGCCCAGUACAGCCCACCA